CCGAGUUCUCGACGUCGGGGUUUGAUGCUGGCCCCCCUUUCCCCGCUCUCGGGGGGGUGGGUUGCACCGUGCUCGCCCUGCCUGUCAUCCACUCUUUACACACCUGUGCACCCUUCUGAAGCGGAGAGUUAUUAGGCAUUAGCCGAGCGCCUCCCUUCGGUUAUUAUAUCAACCUCAAACUACGUUUACUAGAAUGUAUACCGUCUUGUUGUAACGACAAGUACAAUCCAAUA
rnacentral:misc_RNA from 1 species